UACGUAGGGUGCGAGCGUUGUCCGGAAUUAUUGGGCGUAAAGGGCUCGUAGGCGGUUUGUCGCGUCGGGAGUGAAAACCUCGGGCUUAACUCGGGGCUUGCUUUCGAUACGGGCAGACUAGAGGUAUGCAGGGGAGAACGAAUUCCUGGUGUAGCGGUGAAAUGCGCAGAGUAUCAGGAGGAACACCGGUGGCGAAGGCGGUCUCUGGGCAUGAUCUGACGCUGAGGAGCGAAAGUGUGGGGAGCGAACAGG
rnacentral:rRNA from 1 species